CAAAAGGGAACUUCAGGGAUAUGGAGCAGAGCAGUAGAAUAGUCAGUUUUACCUAUUUCCUUUUGGCAGAGCCUCUCUACUCACCUGAGACUCCUUUUGCUUACAAUUCUUUUACAGGCAUGUCCACUAGGCCUUGUCUACAUCACCAGCUUUUAUCACAGCUUCCUGGAACAGUAAGUCAUGCAGCAUUGAUAGAUGGAAGCCAGAUUUGAAUUAGUAUUUCCAAAAGUACAUCUGUAGGAACAUACUGUGAAAGUCAGCAUGGCAUCCAAAAAUGUUACAUUUAUCCCCAGACUCCCUGUGACUUUACUUCCCUUUUACCUAUCAUAAAUUAUAAUUUUAAUGUUUCCUAGGAUUACUUUAGGUUCUUACACAAGUUGGGCUAAGAUAAAAUGUUCCCGAUUUUCAGUAUUAUUUUUACAUAGCUUAAUAAAAAGGAAAGAAUAAUAUGUUGAGUAAAACUCUCAAUAAAUAUUUUCUCCUGAAUUUCUAUGCAGUGUCAAAUAUACACCAAAGGCUAAAUACACAGUAUAACUUCAAAAAGCAUAAGUGCCCAGGCUCUGUAAAUGCAGAUUCUGUGUGCAUUUAUAUUGUUCAGGAAGAACUCUUCUUGUCUUCAGAUUUUUGAAAAAAUAUUCUUUCAUAUAUUGCAUCCCAACUGAAGUUUCUCUUCCCUCCACUUUUCCAAGUCCAUCCCUGUUCACCUCCCCUAUCCCCCAGAUCCACUCCUCCUCCAUUUUCAUUCAAGAAAUGAACAGGCCACCCACAUAUAUCAACUGAACAAUACAUAACAAGUUACAAUAAGACUAGGCACAUGUCCCCAUAUCAAGGAUGCAUGAGGCCACCCACUAGGAGGAAAAAUGUCCCAAGAACAGGCAAACCAGUUAGAGACAACCCCUGCUCCCACUGUUAGGACUCUCACAAUAAACCCAAAUGCACAAUAAUAACACAUAUGCAGAGGACCUAGAUCAGACCCAUACAGGCUCCAUGAUUUUUGCUUCAGUCUCUGUGAGCCCUAUGGGCCUUUUUUAAUGGAUGCAAUGGACUGUAUUCCUCUGGUGUCCUCAACCUCUCUGGCUUGUUAUCAUACAAUACUCUAUUUCUUCAGGCAAUGUAUUUUCAUAAAGAUGUUCCUACUCACCAUAGACAUACCAACAACUGCCUCAUUCAAUACUUUUCACUUUUAACAUAAUUAUGUAUUAUUUGCAUUACAAAAUAUAAAAAUAUUUAAAUAAAUAUCAGAAGUAUACUAUACAAAUUACUGAGUGACAACAUUUUGUCAUGCUUCAUUUAACAUAGCACUUGCAACAUACAAAUCACUUAAUAAACAGGUUAAAUAAAUUCAUACUUGCAACUAACAUUUAUUUAUAUGAGGCAUGGCAAAACAGAAACAAACUUACGCUUAAACAAGAAACAAUUUAUCUGAAAAUUCCAUUGCAAUGGGGAGAAUUCUUACACUACAGUAGUUGUCUGUCCCUACAAGGCAAAGAAAAAUGCUUUUACUUUAGAGGGAUAAGUAUAUUUGGGGGGAAGUUCACUGGGAUUCAAUGAAAAUUAAUAUUCAGUGUUAAAGAGAAAAGACUGGAGAGACAGAUAAUUCAGUAAAAGGCUGAGAGAAUGGCCCCAUCGGCUCUUGUGUUUGAGUGCUUUGUUCCCAGAUGGUGAAACUGUUUUGGAAAAAUUAAGAGACAUUGCCUUAUUGGAGGACAUGUGCCACUGGGAGUGGUCUUUGGGGUUUCAAAAGCCUAUGUCAUUCCAGUUGACUUUCUCUCACUUGUGUAUGUGCUGUGACCUCUGCCCAGUCACCUGCUGAUUGAUGGCCAUACAUAUAUACAUAUGCACAUAAGAAAAUAAAUCUCUAAAUUAAAUAGAAAAUAAAUAGCAGAGAGACUCGCUGGCUAGCAAAUGUAUUCAUUCAUACCUCAUUGGGUUACCAAGUGAAAACCUGCUAAAUUUUAUUUAAAAUUCUUUUUUUGUAAAGUGAAAUUUAUUGUAUUAUUGGAUUUUCUGUUUUAGUUUCCUCACUAGGAUCAAAUCAAAUAUUAUUUCAGUUUCAUUUUAUUUUACUUUAUGUUUUACUGAAAAUAGAUCUCUCUUACAUAAUAUAUUUGGAUUCUUGUUCCCGCUCCCCCAGAUCCUCCCCACUUCCCACACACCUUCAUUUUUUCUCUUUCUUAUUAAAAUCCAAACAGGCAUUUAACAUAAUCAAAUCAAAUAAAAAUAAAACAGAAAAGGAUAAAACAAAUAAACAGGAAAAAUAAAAGAUCCGAAAAAAAAGCCUAAUGAACACAUACAGAAGCUAAGACACUUGCAUUCAUAUGCACAAAAAGAUAUAAAAAUAAAUUUGGGAAUUAUGGUACAUAAGCAAAAGAUCUCUAAGGUUAAAAAAAAAAUGGCCAGACAAAACAAAAACCUCCCCAAGUACCAUUGACUUUAUCUAAUGUCUGUUAUGUACUUCUAGGCAUGUGGCCUACCCUUAAGUUUGGUUUGUAUAUGCAAUAAGAUACUGUUGGAGAAAACUAACUUUUUCUUUCAGAGUGGUUAUCAGUUGGAGAUAGCUUCAAGGUUAGAGAUGAGAGCUGUUUCUGCUUCCCAUCUCAGAGCUAAGACUCCAUCUGGAUUAGGCCUGCGCUGUUCUCUAUGCAUACUGCUACAGUCUCUUUCUCAGAACUCAAGCUCUUGUUAACUUGACCAGACACUGAUCAGAAGAAGCCAUGAAAUUCCAGCCUUGAAUGCUGCAGUCUCUAGGAAUGCACAAUGAUGGUGUGAGCAGCAUGAACCUGUGUAAUGGUGUGAGAAACAUGGACCUGUGUGGUGGUGUGAGCAGCAUGGACCUGUGUGAUGGUGUGAGCAGCCUGGACUUGUGUGAUGGUGUGAGCAUUCUGGACCUGUUUGAUGGUGGGAGCAGAAUGAACCUGUGUGAUACUCACAAAGUAGUUAGACUGUUAUCAGGGUAAUGGCUUAACCAGAGAUUUGAAUUUUCUCAGGUGGGUUGGAUAGGUACCAUGUAUGUUUCUGUUUCUUUUAUACUUAUGCUAAAUGCAACUUUCUAGAAAAACAUAUUAUUUUAAGUUCAAUAAUAGUAAACUAUGGGUUAAAACUAUAUUUUCAGAACAUUUUUCAAGAAUGUGUCUUUUACAUAAUGUUCUAUUCAUCUCCUUCCUAAAAACCUCCAAGGAAAAGUCACAUUUUAUGUCUGGAACUGAUUUGGAGUUAAAUAUGGGGUUAAAGCUCAUGCCUCUUAGUGUAGCCAAUUAUUUGUUCUUUCUAAUAACAGAAAACCAUUAUUAUCCUAAUUGAGGAACACAAUAAAUUCUCAAGUGGUAUCUCGUGACUCCCAGUCUUUUAAAAACAAAAUUAUGUGUUAGGCAAAUGCUCGGCCAGAUAAAUGUGGUUAGCUGUGUUUUCCUUGGAAAGAAGCAAAGCAAAGAGAGAGACAGUGGCUGGGUUCAGUUCAAGGGUGUCGAUGGCUAGUUCAUUUUCAUGGACAAAAGUUAUAAUAUUCUGGAGUAGAGGUGGUAUCAUGUUGAUAAUAGAGAAAUAAAAAUGUCUUUUGUGAGCAAAUGUAUUUUUAAAAAAUUGAUAUGCUAAGUCUUUUUUGGAGUGUUUCAAAGAUACAAGAAGCAAGAAAAGAAUAAACUAGUCCUCUCUUUCACUCACUCCCCCUCCUCUGUGUGUGUGUGUGUGUGUGUGUGUGUGUGUGUGUAAGAGACUGACUCUGUUGUUUUCCUAUGGCUAUCCUCC
rnacentral:lncRNA from 1 species